UAUGGGGUAGGAACCCGUGCGUUAAGUGCGCUGGAAACGGAAUGUGGGCCAGCGACGAAACAGUUAAUGUGCGGUACGGGUUUCGCAUUCACCAAU
rfam:Fructobacillus fructosus KCTC 3544 strain DSM 20349 Scaffold5, whole genome shotgun sequence.